UGCUGGUGCUUCACAGGGAUGGAACAGACUCAAAGUCCUUCAAUGUUGUUAACUUGUUGAAUGCCUUGUACACGCUGUUCAACGCCAACAUUUCCAACUAUGACAUCUAAAAGGUUGAAAGCAUCGACGAUGCCUACAUGUUGGUCUCUUGCCUACUGAUCCGUAAUGGCAGCCGUCAUGCUGGUAUGAUCGCCUCCACUGCAUGACAUCUCCUGGAGGGCGUUGAUAGUUGAUCAUGCCACACAAACAAGAUGAGAAACUCAAACUCCGCAUCGGUAUUCACUCAGGUUGUUAACUUGUUGAAUGCCUUGUACACGCUGUUCAACGCCAUCAUUUCCAACUAUGACGUCUAAAAGGUUGAAAGCAUCGACGAUGCCUACAUGUUGGUCUCUUGCCUACUGAUCCGUAAUGGCAGCCGUCAUGCUGGUAUGAUCGCCUCCACUGCAUGGCAUCUCCUGGAGGGCGUUGAUAGUUGAUCAUGCCACACAAACAAGAUGAGAAACUCAAACUCCGCAUCGGUAUUCACUCAGGGCAAAGGUGAAAGUCUGACGUACUGGCUCGAGGGACAUGAUCCAAGCUACAAGAUCGACCAAAUCAAGCCACCCAAACAAAACUUGUAAACAACCAGAAUAUUAUCCCAACAUUAUCUGCAACGCAUUUGGAUCAGCAAUUUUUUGUAAAGAGGUGAUGGCAGAUCUACCAGCUCACUUCACAUCACAGAGCUCUCUUGAGAAGCACUAUAAAAG